UGGUUAGAAGACCUUUUCAAUCUUAGAUAUCGGAUAAGUAUGUGGAUGAUGUGAUCAUGAUUCAUGAAUAAAAUCAAGUGCCGACAUUUUUCGACAUUCACCUUUUUUUUGGGCCAACGUUAAGAACUCUUCUAGAUGCUCUAUUUUGUAUUUAAAAUUAUCGGCAUUGGAUAUUUGAUAAAACUUUAGUCAGAUUUAAGGGUAUUGCAAUGAAGAUUAGCCCCCAAAAGUCAAUGAUUUAUUUUUGAUUGGUUAAAUGAGUAUGGCUUACGGUUAAAUGACCCAUCUUAAUGUUAAAGUCUAUCCCAAUUAACUCUCCGUAUACGCAUCCUCUCUUUAUAUUGCCUGUAGCAACUAAGGUUUAGGCAUUUCAAAGUUUUCUUUUUUCAAGAAAUCUUGACAGAAAUGGAGACAAGUAGCUUCAAUAUCUCUGGUAUUUAUGACAUCGCUUCACAGAAGCCAGAUAUCCAGGCUCUGAAGCAGAGUAUUUCUGGAAUAAUAAAUGUGGCUCUCGAAUCCAGAACGCUGGUCAUAUUCAAACACGAUUCAAGCGUAACGGCGGCUCAACUGGAGAGCGCGCUGAAAGAACUGGGUUUGAAGCCUUCUCGAAAGGCAAACGGGAGAAAAUGAUAACAGAAGUGCUGCAGAGGAUGGGGCGGAGGAUCGGCAACUUUCUUUUCAAUAGCAGAUGGUGAAAUUAGGCAGGCUGAAAAAAAUCCAUUUGUCACGCUACAUGUGGAUGUUUUCUAUAUUUACUGAUUUUGGAUCUACUAGAAAUUUUACAGAUAAAGAGACUUCUCACAGUGACUGUAAUUUUUGGAUCUUGUAGAGAUUUUAUAUAUAAAGAAGACACUUCUCAAAGUGACUGUAAUUUUUGGAUCUUGUAGAAAUUUUAUAUAUAAAGAUACUUUUCUCAGUGACUGCAAUUUUUGGAUCUUUAUAGAAAUUGACGGUAAUU